GCCCGGUUAGUUUAGUUGGUUAGAACGCCACAUCUUUUGAUUGUUUGAAUCGUGGAAACGCGGGUUCAAUUCCUGCACCGGGCC
rnacentral:tRNA from 1 species